ensembl:lncRNA
GCAGAGUUAAGAGUGGAGCUCAUUACGUGUGGCCUUUUUGAUGAAUUAUAAAGAGCCCGAGCCUCGUGCUGAGAAGGGAGAGGAAGAGAUGUGAGGCCACAGGCUGGCAGAUGUAUAGAGUUUAUUUCUGGAGCGAGAGGAGUUCGGUUCUUUACCGGGAGAGCUGGGCCUUUGUUGCAGAAUGACCAAGCAGGCUCCGGGCUGAGUCAGGAGACGGGGAGCCCCAUCGAGGAGAAAGCAGGCGGCAGGACCAGAUUUCAGCCCUGUGGAGGCAGAGGGUACAUCUGCUGUUUCACUUACCUGUUGCCGCAUAAGGAGCCACCCCAAGCUGCCCUCCUGUUAUCUCUCACGGGGCUGUGGGCCGGCUGGGCUCCGCAGGGCAGUGCUUCUUCUGAUCUCACUUCAAGUCUCUCAUGUUGUCAACAGAUCAUGGGUGGGCUGGCAUCAUCCGCAGAAAACCUGGGCUAGGAUAGCCCUGGAGCCUCACGCAGCCCAUGGAGGUUGGAAUAGGAUUCUGAAAAUGCUUGCUGAGCACUGACCUGCAGGAGAUGAACGCUCCGUAACGGUCACUCUUGUAACUCAAAAUAAAGACUUGAAAAGCUUCA